UACGAAGGGGGCUAGCGUUGCUCGGAAUGACUGGGCGUAAAGGGCGCGUAGGCGGCGCAGUUAGUCAGGCGUGAAAUUCCUGGGCUCAACCUGGGGACUGCGCUUGAUACGGCUGUGCUUGAGGAUGGAAGAGGCUCGCGGAAUUCCCAGUGUAGAGGUGAAAUUCGUAGAUAUUCGCAAGAACACCAGUGGCGAAGGCGGCUUACUGGUCCGGUACUGACGCUGAGGUGCGAAAGCGUGGGGAGCAAACAGG
rnacentral:rRNA from 1 species